rnacentral:misc_RNA from 1 species
UGAGGCCUUGACUAAUCCUCACAUGUAUUUAUGCAUGUCCAUAUCCACAUUAUUCACUUACUGACCCAUUUCAUCAAGAGGGUCAUCAUGUUCUUUUGGAUGCAACACAAAUAUAAGGUUAGCAAUGCUUAGAUUAUGUCUGGAGGUUGUGUCCUUUUCUUUUUUGUUCAUCUCAGUCUGCCCUCUAUUUAGGUCACUUCUGGGCGAUAUCAGAUCACGUGACCUCCUUUUGUAGGGUAGCAAAUUAACGCUGUAACAGUGCAAUGAGUGUCAGCUUGUUUUUGUUGUUGUUUUUUUUAAUUAUAAUAAUUAGCAGUUAAUCACUAGUUAAAGCAGAAGUGCCCUGCCUCAACAGCGCUAGUCCUUCCAAACAGAGUCCUUAGAACAGUAGAAAUUUUGGGAAUUAUGAAUGGGAAA